GGCUCAGAUUGAACGCUGGCGGCAUGCCUUACACAUGCAAGUCGAACGGCAGCACGGGGCAACCUGGUGGCGAGUGGCGAACGGGUGAGUAAUGCAUCGGAACGUGCCAUUGAGUGGGGGAUAACGUGGCGAAAGUUGCGCUAAUACCGCAUAUUCUGUGAGCAGGAAAGCAGGGGACCGCAAGGCCUUGCGCUCUUUGAGCGGCCGAUGUCAGAUUAGCUAGUUGGUGAGGUAACGGCUUACCAAGGCGACGAUCUGUAGCGGGUCUGAGAGGAUGAUCCGCCACACUGGAACUGAGACACGGUCCAGACUCCUACGGGAGGCAGCAGUGGGGAAUUUUGGACAAUGGGCGCAAGCCUGAUCCAGCCAUGCCGCGUGAGUGAAGAAGGCCUUCGGGUUGUAAAGCUCUUUCGGCCGGGAAGAAAUCGCAUGGGUUAAUACCCUGUGUGGAUGACGGUACCGGAAUAAGAAGCACCGGCUAACUACGUG
rnacentral:rRNA from 1 species